UACGUAGGUGGCAAGCGUUGUCCGGAUUUACUGGGCGUAAAGAGCGCGCAGGCGGUCGUUCAAGUCGAGUGUGAAAGCCCCCGGCUCAACUGGGGAGGGUCACGCGAUACUGAUCGACUCGAAGGCAGGAGAGGGUAGUGGAAUUCCCGGUGUAGUGGUGAAAUGCGUAGAUAUCGGGAGGAACACCAGUGGCGAAGGCGACUACCUGGCCUGUUCUUGACGCUGAGGCGCGAAAGCUAGGGGAGCAAACGGG
rnacentral:rRNA from 1 species